UCUCUCUCUCUCUCUCUCUCUCUCUCACCUUUUUUCCAUGUUGGAUCCAUAUUCUCCCAAAGAGGGAGACCUCUUUCUCCUCCACCCUCCCUGAGAUGGCAGGUAAAAUGAUAUAGAAACAUAUGUUAUCAUGCAGCAUGUGUUUCCCUGUUCAUCAGGUUGUGAAAGAAGAAACAUAUCAUUUAUUCAAGAAAAAACCCCCCAAAACUCAUGGAGUUAGCCUGUUGCCUUUUAAUGUGUUUUGGGAUCAGGAAAUCCUUGAAAUUCAGUAAUGAAUAGACAUCUGUGUGCAAUGGAAAGGCAAACUUCCUAUUGAAACUAUAGAUUCCUGCUGAAAUUGAGAGGAUUUGAAACAAUAGCAGCUUUCUUGACAUGUCGCUGUUAGACGCUGCUGCCAUCGUGUGGGGAAUACUGGAAUCUCCAACUGGAAGGUGGGACAGGCUUGGUGUUACCCAGGAACUUCUGAGCUCAUUUCCGAGAGGUCUCGAUUCAAGAAGACACAAAUAGAAGCCCCAGUUCUCAGUGCUCUGGGCAAUUAACCAAGUUGCAGAUAAAGUGCCCAUCUACAUUGACAGAGGCAUCUCCCCGGGAUAUCUCCAUCCCAGUGAAACCCAACGUCCAACCCAAACCCCAAACUCAUUAAGGGCUCGUGCUCAGCUUGAGUGAUUGCGCAAGUGUGCCUUCAUGAAACUGCUGAUCUUUUACAUCACUCGAGCCCAACUCUCCCCACAUCCCCUCUAAACAACUUUAAAAUAUAUCCAAUUGAAUUCUAAAGAAGCACAAGCAACCAAAGGUUGGGGGUGAGACACUCCCAGCCCAGGACAGUUUAGGAGAUCAGAGGGGACUGGCUGGAAGUACAGGAUGGGGAAGACCUUGGAGGAAGUGAUGGUGCAGCUGCCGCAGGACACCCGAUUAGAAAGGUCUUAAGGGCUAGCACAGGAAGGAAUCCCAUGUGGCAACUCCAUUGCCCAUUACCUGGAUCCAGGACACAGUUCCAGGGAUAGAGAGCUUACAGUUGGGAGCAGGGAUCCUUGCUGGAUAAGGUCCAUGGCCCAGAUGAAGAGACCAGAGACCACACCACCUCCUAGAUUAUUCUUCCCUGGAAGCACCCCAAAACUUGCAGGCCUCCCCCUGCCAGAACUAGCUCUGAAAAUAGCAGCAUUCAAAAGCUUGAAGUUUGGGAUGGUGCCUCCUCACCCUCCAGGAAAGCAGAGCCUAACUUUAAUGUAAGUUCAAAGCUAAGAAAAAGGCUACCAAAAUGGGCAAAAACCAACCAAAAAAGGAACCUGAUCUAUGCUACAGUGACUGGGAAGAUCACAACACAGGCUCAGAAAAUAUAUAAACAAAAACAACCAAAGCUUUGAGGAAAAAUACAGGUUGGACACAGGUCCAAAAAAAUUCCUGGAAGACCUAAAGAGCAAAAAAAAAAAUAAAGAAUAAAAUAAGCAUUUAAAAAGAACUUACUAGCAUGUCUCCUAAAAAACCACUGAUCUUAGGGGGCAGCUGGGUGGCUCAGUGGAUUGAGAGCUAGGCCUAGAGGCAGGAGGUCCUGGGUUCAAAUUUGGCCUCAGACACUUCCCAGCUGUGGGUCCCUGUGUGUCACAUCACCCUCCACUGCCUAGCCCUUACUGCUCUUCUACCUUAGAACCGAUAUGUAGUUUUGCUUCUAAGGCAGAAGGUUUAAGAGUUAAAAAAAUCACUGACUUCAUCCAAACCCUUCCUAUUACAGAUGCUUAUUACAAGGGCCAGUUGGGCAAAGUGAAUUAUUUAAGGGGACACAGUAAGUGGCAGAGAAGGGACCCUAACUUGGGGUCAGAUUAUUCAAAAUCGCAUCUUGCUACACCACAAUGAGAUCUGAAUAGCUGAAAGGGAACGGCAACCAAUUCUCCAUCAUGUUAGGAAAAGCCAAACAAACACCCCAUAAAAAGAAAUGCCCAGAAACCACUUCUUGCUUUCAAAUUUCUUUAUUGCUAUCUCACAAAAUUGAGUAUUUUUCUAGAAGAAAGAAAUCAGUGCGCUUGUAGUAAAUAGUUCUAUGCAGAUGGCUAUAGAGAAGAGAGCUAAGGAGAAGGAAGGGAGGAACGAUAGGCAGAAAGCUACAAGCAGCAAUAAAAUUAAUAAGUACAGAAAACUAGCAGUGCAAUAAUAUAAACAGCAAGCAGCUUUACAUGGAGAAAAAAUACAGCUCUUUUAAAUAUAGAAACAGCACCUUAAAAAAGAAAUCGAGAAAUGUAAACUUGGCGGUAGAUUCAAGUAUAUUCAUUAUGUCCCCAACACUUAGGCCAGACGGGGCGCGAGGGCUUCACAAACGCUGGGCCGUGCGGGCACCUUCCUCAGCGCAAAUGCAAAGGCGGCAUCGUCCGAGCGGCGUGGCGGACAUUUCUUUUUCUUCUGGUGAACAUUUUACAUUAUAGAUUGCCAUUGCUUCUUCACUACUAAAAAAACAAAAGACCCCCCUGGAGUGGCAUUCAGCAGCAGCUCGGCACGGAAAGGGCUCUGCUGGAAUUGCGGUGGCCGAGAGAAGCGACCGCUGCUGUCUCCUUCAGCGAGGCCGCACGCUUCCAAGUGGACGUCGGACCCUCUGGGAACGGCGUUCCGGGUCGUACGGAGGGACGUGGUCCGGGCAGCCCAUCGGCGGCCCUGUAGAACUGCCAGACGUGGGACAGGAACUUCCUGGGAUCCCCCAAGAUGGUCCUCGUCACAAGCUGUCUCCCUGGUGGUUAGGCGCACGGUGCAGGAAAGAGUCCAAAUGAGAUAGGAAGGGAAGGAAGAAACGCUACCCAGGGCUGAGUUUUCAGUGGAGGGGAAGCUGGGGGAAGGAGAGAGGAGACAGACAGCUUCCCCUAGAAGAGAGGCCGUCUCAGCGGAAAUGUUAGGAAAGAAUCCUUACAGUUGGCCUAGAAUAAAAACACGUGUAGCCCGUACAGAUCACUAGGCUGUCCAUCGCAUCAGCUGCCUAAUCGUCGCGCCGUUCCUGUGAGUUCAUCGAGGGAGCUCCCUCAUGAGGCCAAGCUAGGCUGACUACCCCUGCGGCUCAGAAUGAAGGGGUCGGCCCAGGGGGUCCCAGUCACUGUGCCAGAAGCUGAACUCGAACCCAGUUCCCUGGUUCCCAAGCCCACCACACAGCUCUCUCAAAAUCACUCGGCAUUAACUGUUGGCCUCCAAUAGUUCAUCUCAUUUUUCACAUACCAAUAAAGUUACUUUCUAGUUA